UGGGGAAUAUUGCACAAUGGGCGAAAGCCUGAUGCAGCAACGCCGCGUGAGUGAUGAAGGUCUUCGGAUUGUAGAGCUCUGUCUUUUGGGACGAUAAUGACGGUACCAAAGGAGGAAGCCACGGCUAACUACGUGCCAGCAGCCGCGGUAAUACGUAGGUGGCGAGCGUUGUCCGGAUUUACUGGGCGUAAAGGGUGCGUAGGCGGAUGUUUAAGUGAGAUGUGAAAUACCCGGGCUUAACUUGGGUGCUGCAUUUCAAACUGGAUAUCUAGAGUGCAGGAGAGGAGAAUGGAAUUCCUAGUGUAGCGGUGAAAUGCGUAGAGAUUAGGAAGAACACCAGUGGCGAAGGCGAUUCUCUGGACUGUAACUGACGCUGAGGCACGAAAGCGUGGGUAGCAAACAGGAUUAGAUACCCUGGUAGUCCACGCCGUAAACGAUGAGUACUAGGUGUAGGAGGUAUCGACCCCUUCUGUGCCGCAGUAAACACAUUAAGUACUCCGCCUGGG
rnacentral:rRNA from 1 species